UAAGUUCCGCUUGACCAGAAACCCUACUUACUGUGGUAUCAAUGACGGUCUCCUGGCACCAGGGCAGAGGAUCUUUGAUUAUGGCUUAUUUCACUCAGGGGUUGCUCACAGAAAGGACCUUCUCUGUCUUCUGCACCACAGAGCACUCCCAACACACCAGGCAGCAACAGACUUCCCAAUGACCCUCACAUCCUGGGUCUGUUGCACCUCUGAUGCCAGCUUGAGUUUGGAGAAAGAGGGCAGCUUGUGUGACCAGAUUCCUCAGAGUCAAUGCGAGAACCUCUUUGGGUGGAGGGUUUAGUUGUGUUUUAUUUCAUUUUUGUUGUUGUUGUUUUUGGUUUGGGUUUUGGUUGAGACUGACUGAUCCCACUGUGUGCCUUUGGUAGAGAACCUGUAAAUCAGGAUUACCUCAAACUCAGAGAUCCAUCUGCCUCUGCCUCUCUGCCUCCUGGGGCUAAGAUUACAGGCAUGCAGCACCACACCCAGCUAUACUGGAACUCUUUGAUUUACUCCAGGAGGAUAAAAUCCUAUACAGAGCACCCACUGCUAUUUCCUCUUCUAGAAGGGAACUGUGAGAAGCCAUUAUCAACACAACCAGCACUAACAAUACCUUGACUGUUUGGGGGGAGGGGGUGUCGAGGGAGGUUCAGGAGCCUCCUAAUCAGCAGACAUGGGGAAGUAGCCCACUCUUGGUUCUAGGAUUCCCACUAAAUAGUCUUUGGCUUCUGGGAGGAGUUUCAUCCACCCACUCAGGAUAUCUCUGUUCAAACUUUAUUUUGUUUUUUAUGGACUUGAGAAAGGAGCAUAUGUCCUUAUACUUUGUUCAUACAUACCGGUUUUUGGUUGACUCCACCACAGUCAGUCCUGUGCUGCAGCUCUCUGGCUGUCCUCUCUGUUCAAACUUCUCAGUUCCCAUAAUUCCCCACCACCACUUGUAUAUCCCAUGUAUGCUACUGUCUAUCUCCCCCAAAGCUAUUUUUACCCCUUUUAUAGCCCCCCUUUCAGUUUCCUGGCCUCUACAAACACUUCCUACAACAAAAAUGUACAUGCCUAAAAAUGAGAAGCUGAAAUCCACAUAUGAGAGAGAGCAUCAGGUUUGCCUUUCUGACAUUGGGUGAACUCACUAUUUAGUAGCUCUGCCAGCUUUGUGUGAAAAUUAUACAGGUCCAUUUAUAUUAUGCAUGAUCUGUGGCACAUUUUCAUUUCCACUUAUCAUCUAGGCUGAUUGUAUUUCUCAGCUAUUGUUAGUGGAGCAGCAAUGAACACAAUGUCCCAGUAUCUUUGUGCUAGGAUACAGAGUUCUUCUGGGGAACACCCAGGUUUGGUGUCAGCUUGCAACCCCAAGAGCAGUGGAGGAGUCUUCUUUCUCCACAUCCUCACCAGCUCCUGUUUUCUCCUGAGUUUUUGAUCUUAGCCAUUCUGACUGAGGUGAGGUGAAAUCUCAGGGUUGUUUUGAUUUGCAUCCUGAUAAGUAAGGAUGUUGAACAUUUCUUUAGGUGUUUUUCAGUCAUUCGAUAUUCUUCAGGUGAAAAUUCUUUGUUUAGCUCUGUACCCCAUUUUUUUGUUUUGUUUUGUUUUCCAGACAGGGUUUCUCUGUGUAGCUGUCCUGGAACUCACUUUGUAAACCAGGCUGGCCUAGAACUCAGAAAUCCACCUGCCUCUGCCUCCCAAGUGCUGGGAUUAAAGGUGUACGCCUUCCAGGCUGUACGCCAUUUUUAAUGGGGUCAUUUGGCUCUCUGGAGUCUACCUUCUUGAAUUCUUUUUAUAUCUUGGAUAUAAGCCUUCUGUUGGAUGUAGUGUUGGUAAAGAUCUUUUCCCAAUUUGUUGGUUGCCAUUUUGUCCUUUUGACAAUGUCCUUUGCCUUACAGAAACUCAGUAAUUUUAUGAGGUCCCAUUUGUCAAUUCUUGAUCUUACAGCAUAAGCUAUUAGUGUUCUGUUCAGGAAAUGUUCCCCUGUGCCCAUGUCCUCAAGGGUCUUCCCCAGUUUCUUUUCCAUUAGUUUCAGUGUGUCUGGUUUUAUGUGGAUGUCCAUGAUCCACGUGGACUUGAGCUUCAGAGGUUAAUUUUUAACAUAACAUUUUUUAUCAAUUCUUAGGGAAUUUUACAUCAUGUACCCAAUCACACACAUGUCUCUGUUCUUCCAUGUCUGACCCAAUUCCCUUGUGACCUCUUUCCCGCAAAAAAAGUUAAAAAUAAAAAUAAACAUUUUUAAAUCAAUAAAAUAUAUUUUAAUUAAAAAAAUUAAUUUAGAAACCAAAAUCCAAUUUGUGUUACCUAUAUACUCACUGAAGCAGAGUCAAACUCUCAGUGGCCUACCACAUAAAUAGCACUGUAUUUCCAUUUAUGAACAACCACCUCCACAGAAAACUUCAACUAUGCAGAGAUAACAUCAGCAUCAAUAUCUAAUGCAUUGAGAAUUCUCUUUGAUACCUUCCUGUUUAGGCUGGUCCUUCUCCUUUGGCAGGUGGGAAAUGGAGUGGGUGUAGAGGUUGUCACAGAAGACUUCCAUGUCCUUAUUUCUCAACUGUGCAUCUGCAAUUACUGAUAUAACUGCAAAAGUAGGUUCUUUGCUCCUUAGAGACAGCGGAAACAGGAUCAUGAUCUUCCCCAUUGUUUCUGACAAGACCAAAAUUUGGAAGGGUCUCCCCUGCAGUAGGACCACAGACCUAGACAAGUCCCUCUGAGGUAGCCAUGUGCUGUGGACAUCAACAUGGCUUCAGGUAGCAGCAAAGGCCACUUAGGUCUUGUGUAUGAUGCUCACAGCCUCUGGGAUUUCAUGUAUGCAACAGUCUCACCAUGGUCACAAAUAGUGUUUCUGAGAAGAUUUCUAAUACCUUCAGCUCUUACAGUCUCACAAGCUCUCUUCUGCAAAGAUCAAUGCACCUUGGGGAGAGGAGGGUGUUACAGAAUUACCAUUUAGAGAUGAGUACUUUACAAACAAUCUCAGCAUGUUGGGAGAUGACUCAUGAACAUUGCUUCUAAAAAUUAACCAUGUGCAGAUAACCCAUAGAUGUGGAACUUCUGAGCCACUGAGGAGAUUCAACAUACUUCCUACUGAGACACAUGGUUCAGGGCCAGGGUUCUGACCAACCAUUCCGUAUUGCUCCUUUGCUUUCGUGUAUGAAGUCUGCAGCCAGGGCUCACUGAAAAGUAGCAUGGUGAACAAUAGGUUUAGAGCAUAAAUUUGCUGUGUUAGGGUUCUUUACAAAAUGUUUUUAACUUGUAUAAGCCAUGAGGAAGUUGCUCCUACCUGGAACAUUCCCUGUCAGUUAUCACAAGUUGGACCACUUCCUGCUACAACUGAGCUGUUCAUAAAAAUUUGCUAGUUGCU